GGGCAGCGGGACCGGAAGCACCGCCAUAUGCCAUCUUCUCCUCCCUCUUUGUGUAUAUUGAUUGGCUCUCCUGGCUUUGGCCUCGGUCCUGAAUUUUGCCAGACUCCAAAAUGGCUGCCUCGGAAGUGCUCCGUUUCUGGCACAAAGCCGGAUUGCUUGCCAUUUGGGUAGUGAGCGAGUCCUUCAUUAGCAUGGUCUCCUAGCAACCAGUCUCCCUGGUUACCAGAGAAGCCUGACGGAGCAUGCGCGGGGCUGGACCUGCCCAGGACUGCUGGACCCAUCCCCGCGCCCGGCCCCCAGACCCUUUUCUCAUGUUCAUCUCUGAGCCUUGGUGCUGGGGGUCGAGCUCAGCCUGGCCUUCCGCCUAACUCAGUCAACGUCUGAGUGCGUAGCUCACCUCGUGGGAGAAGCCCCCUCCCCAGCUCCGCUGCAGCUGCGCUGAGCCCCUACUGGCGGCCUCACGGGCGAGCAUCCCGGGCUGUUACCCCGCUGACCGCCAGAGGGAGCU
rnacentral:lncRNA from 1 species